AGCAUGUGGCUUAAUUUGACUCAACACGGGAAAUCUUACCGGGUCCGGACAUAUCGAGGAUUGACAGACAGUUAUACAUGCCCUACAAGUAGGAGUCAGGUUUUAAACCUAAUGGCUCUUUCAUGAUUAUAUGAUAGGUGGUGCAUGGCCGUUCUUAGUUCGUGGAGUGAUCUGUCUGCUUAAUUGCGUUUCAAAAUUUAACUUGAGGACCGGGUUUUGGUUUGGCUAGUGGUUCUACGAUGACUGUGAACUGUCAUGUCUUCGGAUGUGCGACUAUUGGUCUAGGAUCACAUGACUUGCCCCUGGGACUCUUUUGAACGCAACGGACGUGAUUGCAACCCCUUGUUGAGAUUAGAGAUAGUCUCGAUAUUCACUGGACAAACUGGCUGCUUUAUGCAGUCUUGUUGAAUGGUGGAUAAACUCGGGGGACUGCUGACUAUAACCAUUUCUCAAAACAGAGGAAGGUUGCGGCAAUAACAGGUCUGUGAUGCCCUCAGAUGUCCCGG
rnacentral:rRNA from 1 species